rnacentral:tRNA from 1 species
GGGGUUGUAGCUCUGUGGUAGAGUGCUUGCCUUUCAUGCAUGGGCACUAGGUUCAAUCCUCACCACCA